CAAUGGGGGGAAACCCUGAAUGCAGCGACGCCGCGUGAGCGAAGAAGUAUUUCGGUAUGUAAAGCUCUAUCAGCAGGGNAAGAAGAAAUGACGGUACCUGACUAAGAAGCACCGNNCUAAAUACGUGCCAGCAGCCGCGGUAAUACGUAUGGUGCAAGCGUUAUCCGGAUUUACUGGGUGUAAAGGGAGCGCAGGCGGUACGGCAAGUCUGAUGUGAAAGCCCGGGGCUCAACCCCGGUACUGCAUUGGAAACUGUCGGACUAGAGUGUCGGAGGGGUAAGUGGAAUUCCUAGUGUAGCGGUGAAAUGCGUAGAUAUUAGGAGGAACACCAGUGGCGAAGGCGGCUUACUGGACGAUUACUGACGCUGAGGCUCGAAAGCGUGGGGAGCAAACAGGAUUAGAUACCCUGGUAGUCCAAGGGCGAAUUC
rnacentral:rRNA from 1 species